CCUACGGGAGGCAGCAGUGGGGAAUAUUGCACAAUGGGGGAAACCCUGAUGCAGCGACGCCGCGUGAGUGAAGAAGUAUCUCGGUACGUAAAGCUCUAUCAGCAGGGAAGAAAAUGACGGUACCUGACUAAGAAGCCCCGGCUAACUACGUGCCAGCAGCCGCGGUAAUACGUAGGGGGCAAGCGUUAUCCGGAUUUACUGGGUGUAAAGGGAGCGUAGACGGCAAGACAAGUCUGGAGUGAAAUCCCGGGGCUUAACCCCGGGACUGCGUUGGAAACUGUGCGGCGGGAGUGCAGGAGGGGUAAGCGGAAUUCCUAGUGUAGCGGUGAAAUGCGUAGAUAUUAGGAGGAACCCCGGUGGCGAAGGCGGCUUACUGGACUGUAACUGACGUUGAGGCUCGAAAGCGUGGGGAGCAAACAGGAUUAGAUACCCGAGUAGUC
rnacentral:rRNA from 1 species